rnacentral:tRNA from 1 species
GAGAGAGGCUCGCUAGCAGCGGAAACUGCUAAUUUCCGCUACCCUGGUUGAAACCCCGGGCUCCCUUA